ACGAUCCAUCGGGUCGGGUCACGACGAACGCAAAUAUCAAAACCACCAGCAAAAGCCCGAUCAGUAUCGCCAUACAACACAAGUAAACCGCCAGCGCCGAUGAAACCAGUUGCGGAGACGACGAGGAUGAGAACGCCGAGGACGACGACGGGCCAACGGAGGAGAUUAACACACUCGUUGUCAGGCUUUGAAGCUAGCCAUAUACCUGACGCCGUUAUUGGUAUGGAACAGAGUAAAGCUAGUAAGUUCAGUAUCGCGGUUAAGUUAUUCGCUAACGCCAUCAAAAUUCUCUCUUUCUCUCUCUGACUUGAAGAAGAUUCGAGCUUUUUUUGUUUGUUUGUUUUUUUAUAGAAUGAAAAUGAAAUUAUGAGAGUGAGAGGAGUGCUGAUUGUUGUCUCUGUUUUUAGACUUAUGAAGGUCGGUGGUUCGAGAGGUGAUGGGAUGUGUGAAACCUCUGUUUACUCCCUAUUUACAGAAAACGAGGUUCGGUUCUUUCCUCCGGUCCGGAAAACUCAAUUUCCGGUUUGAAGUUGAUUUAAAGGGAGUGGGUUAAUUAUUUUAUUCGAUUAAUUAAACAUAGAAAUGUUUGGUUUAUGAUGGAAAGUGAACUGGUUAAAAGGGAUAAUUUGUAGUUUCACUUUUAAGAUGAACUGGGUUAAUCUGGUGGUCGGACCGGCUUUUUGGGUUUUUAAAGAGUGGAAUCAUGUCACAUGGUCUGAUGGAUGGACGGACACGCGGAGACACGAGAUUACUUUUUGUUGGCUUUGAAAGCGAGUUUGUGCAACAGACGCGCGUUUGUGCGCGUUGUUACUGCUUUAUAUCGAAGAGAAGAUUCUUCUAUUCUGUGCAAGUACUUGAUCAAACCAACGAGAACUAACCACGUGGCGUAAACGACUUUGUGUGAUUGCGUUGAUUGAGUUCAAUUGUUCGAUUUUUUUUUUUUUUUUUUUUUUNCAGCAUUAGAGAUGUUUUGGAGCACGAUUUUGUCUUAAGCUUGAUGAGGGAAGUGUCGGGUACUGAUCAAGAGGUAGGCUUUGCUUUUUAAUUCAGAGGAUUGGUAUUUGAUGCACACAAGCUGCUCGAUAGAAUGUGUAAACCAAGAUUACUGAUUUAAGUAUAUUAUUUCCUCAUCUGGUUUUAAUUGGAAGAGUUUGAGUCUAUAUACUAGCUCAUUGUCUAAUCAUAAGAUCAAAAACUCUUCUUUUUGGUAUGGUGAGGGGCUCUUGAGGAAUUUGAUGAGCCUGCUUCAGCUUUGGUUUGGAACAUGUCAAGUGAAAGUGACGAAAGAAGAGCUUCGUUGCCCCAGCCAGAUUCCAGUUUUGGUGUUGGUGUUCCCAUUGAGCAUUCAGGAAGGAUGGGUUCAAAAACUUCAUUUGCAAGGAAUAAAGUAGUAUACAAGCUGAAUCAAACGUGGCUGUUAUUUUCUUUAUAAAGGGAAACACAAGAAGAAGACAAGUUUUAAGCAAAAAUGGGAGAAUUUUAUGGGAGCAUU